CUGGGUGUAAGUCAGUCCGGUCAGACAGCCUGUUUUGGGAGUAGGAAGCCGCAGGUUCUAAUCCUGCUACCCAGA
rnacentral:tRNA from 1 species